AGGGAUGUAGCGCAGCUUGGUAGCGCGUUUGUUUUGGGUACAAAAUGUAACGGGUUCAAAUCCAGUCAUCCCUA
rfam:Zea mays cultivar B73 chromosome 7, whole genome shotgun sequence.